CGGGGUGAGUAAUGCUUGGGAAUCUGGCUUAUGGAGGGGGAUAACUACGGGAAACUGUAGCUAAUACCGCGUAGUAUCGGAAGAUGAAAGUGCGGGACCGUAAGGCCGCAUGCCAUGGGAUGAGCCCAAGUGGGAUUAGGUAGUUGGUGGGAUAAAGGCCUACCAAGCCUGCGAUCUCUAGCUGGUCUGAGAGGAUGGCCAGCCACACUGGAACUGAGACACGGUCCAG
rnacentral:rRNA from 1 species